rnacentral:lncRNA from 1 species
GGCCUCUUCUCUUAUGUUCCCAAGGCUUGGGAGUGCCACAUCUCAGCUCACACCGCCAAUGACCAUAAGUUCAGUCUUUGAUGAUGUCCAACUAAUAGAAUAGCAAGAGUCUAUGGUAAAGGCUCGAGAUGGACUGAAGUGGGGCCUAGGCAGUGAAGGAGGGGUUGAAGAAUGUGAGGCGAUAGAGCGAGGCUAGGGUGGCAUGGUACUAGGUGGCAAGAGGGGGC